UACGGAGGGGACUAGCGUUGUUCGGAAUUACUGGGCGUAAAGCGCACGUAGGCGGAUUUGUAAGUCAGGGGUGAAAUCCCGGGGCUCAACCUCGGAACUGCCUUUGAUACUGCAAAUCUCGAGUCCGGAAGAAGUGAGUGGAAUUCCUAGUGUAGAGGUGAAAUUCGUGGAUAUUAGGAAGAACACCAGUGGCGAAGGCGGCUCACUGGUCCGGUACUGACGCUGAGGUGCGAAAGCGUGGGGAGCAAACAGG
rnacentral:rRNA from 1 species